rnacentral:lncRNA from 1 species
ACAGCAAACCUGAACCUAUUGAAGCCCACAUACACAGUAAGAACCUGAAUGGCUAGAGACCAAAAAAAUAUACAGUCAAACCCAGUAGCCUCACUAUGAAUAGCCAAUGACAUCGCAAGUCAAAGAACCACUCACACCACUGCAGUAUCGAGAAGACCACUUACGAGUGAGUAGACAUCCAAUGUGGUUCUCGUAUUGGUCAUGCUUAGUGCAAGUAGUUUUCUAACAACCACCCACACUUUCACCUCAAUAUCUCUAUACCGCAAACCCGAGACUCAUCUGCCCACA